UUGAACUCAGUCAUGUUCAAGUGUAUAUACCAGCUAGUAUAAAUCUGUAGUCUUACCAUAGCUACAAUGCUCUAGCUGACCAAGUUGGAACCGAUUGAAUUAAACUCGUCAAAUUAAACAUUUUCAAAUACAUCGUACAUAACUUCCUCUUGAAGUUAUGCCAAAAAACAAUGGUGGAAAAAUAUCGGAUGCCUCGACAACUUAUAUAAUUCGUAGCAACAGCAGAACUUCUACAGACGAAUCGCCCUUUUCGAGUUAUGCUCCGACUUUAAAAGAUCCGGAUUACGUUGAGUCACUUUUCACUCGAUUAAGAUCCGCUAGAUUUACCCUGGCAUACAUGGGCUUCUCUGGAUUCCUAUUGGUCAAUGCGAUGAGGGUCAAUAUGAGUGUAGCUCUGGUAGACAUGGUUGACAGUGGCGAAGAUGAUAACAGUUCCACCAAUGAGAACUGUCCAGUUAGAUCUUCAUUCAACCAAUCAGACGGAGAUCAGAGAGG